rnacentral:rRNA from 1 species
UACGUAGGGUGCAAGCGUUGUCCGGAUUUAUUGGGCGUAAAGAGCUCGUAGGCGGUUUGUCACGUCGGAUGUGAAAGCCCGGGGCUUAACCCCGGGUCUGCAUUCGAUACGGGCAGACUAGAGUGUGGUAGGGGAGAUCGGAAUUCCUGGUGUAGCGGUGAAAUGCGCAGAUAUCAGGAGGAACACCGGUGGCGAAGGCGGAUCUCUGGGCCAUUACUGACGCUGAGGAGCGAAAGCGUGGGGAGCGAACAGG